CAUCCCCAAAUUCCUGUUCUAGGCCUUAGAGUACCUGGAAAGCUCACAGACAACAAUCAGACAUUCUGCAGCCCUGUUCAUUGAGCAGGCCUAGGAAAGACUAUCCACCAUUACUGCGAUUUGUUGUCUGAAACAGUGAAUGAAGAUGGCAUCUCCCGCCUGUAUGAAGCUUUUCAAGAAGUGCCUUUGAAAUCUGACAGGACCAGAAGGUACAUCCUCAAUAGACAUUACAAAUGGUUGCAGAAACUUGGAAAUCUCAUGUCAGGUUCUGCAUUCGACUAGGGAACCAGGACCAAUACAGAAGACCUCUUCAUCCUGCUAUGGUAUG